AUGGGCCGGAGUUCCAACUACAACCCCUCCAACCAGCCUACACAAGAAAGUUCCAGACCCACCUCCCUGUACUCAUCCUGGUGCCUCUCAAAUUCAGGCGAAUAUUCUAGCUCCGCCAGCGGCUCCCCACCCCGCCCACGCCUGUUCGCGCUCCCCGCCACGUGGAGCUUCAGGCCCCGCCUUCUCUGGGCGCGCUCCCGGCCCCCUCCCCCCGGUCACCUGUCCCGGAGACCCCGCGGCGUCCGCGACUCCAGCUCCGUCGGCCUCUGCGUCCGCAGCUCCCGGGCCACGCGCGUCACUUCCUGCCCGCACCACCGAGACUGUGUCUCAAAAAAAAAGAAAAAGAAAAAAAAAAGAAGGUGUGAGACUAAGGAAAUCACCAAUGCCAACUCUCCUCAGCAGAUCCGAAAGCUGAUCCAAAGAUGGCUGAUCAUCCCGCAAGCCUGUGGACGGUCCAUUCCGGGCGCGGAUGCGGAAAAAUACCUUGGCCCGCCGAAAGGGAGGCCACAUGGGCAUAGUAAGCGGAAGGGUACAGCAAAUGCCCGAAUGCAGAGAAGGUCACGUGGAUGAGGAGAAUGAGGAUUCUGCGACUCUGCUGCUCAGAAGAUACCAUGAGUCCUAAGAAAAUUGAUCGCCACAUGUAUCUACAGCCUGUACCUGAAGGUGAAGGGGAAUGUGUCCAAAAACAAGCGUAUUCUCAUGGACACACAUCCACAAAAGCUGAAGGCAGACAAGGCCCGCAAGAAGCUCCUGGCUGACCAGGCUGAGGCCCGCAGGUCUAAGACCAAGGAAGCACGCAAGCGCCUGAAGAGCGCCUCCAGGCCAAGAAGGAGGAGAUCAUCAAGACUUUGUUCAAGGAGGAAGAGACCAAGAAAUAAAAGCUCCCCCUUUGUCUGUACAUACUGGCCUCCGUGAUUACAUAGAUCAGCCAUGAAAAUAAAACAAGCCUU